UCUAAUUUCUUUUAGACUUAAAAUGUCAGAAAAAAAUUGCAUCAAAUUUGCAAAAUUUUUAUUAUAGACAAACAAAUUCAGGAAAAAAAAAGUUAGAACAUUUGAAAAUUUUGUAAAAAACAAAAAAAUAAUAAUCAGAUUUGCCAAAAGUUUAUUAUAGACAAAUAAAUUCAGAAGAAAAAAAAGUUGGCACAUUUGAAAAUUUUAUAAAAAACACAAAAUUAAUAAACAAUGAUAGUGCACCCAACUAAAGAGUGUACCCAGUUUAACAAAUCUAUCUUCUUUACUUCAAGUUUUUAUAGUGUUUGUUCUAAAUUUUACUGUUUUUUCUGUUAGUUUUGUGAAGUUUGAUUGGUAUUAGAGUCAAGUUCAGCGCGAUUCCCGAGCAUGACUUCUCGCGCGAGGGAACACAUAACUUUCAAAUAAAAGUUGUUUGUUUAUUCUAAAUUGGUUUUGGAGGGUUAUUUAUUUUUUUGUAAUUAUUCUGUCGAAAUCCUCAAUUGUUAUUAUAAAAGGGUGAUGCCGCCUAUAAAACGAUACUUCCAAAUAAUAUAUUCAGAAACGUUGCUAGUUACGUCUAUGGACGUAAGCACAACUUAUUGAGCUACGUAAAAUCGUUACAUAUCUCUUUUCGUUGAUUGCUUAUAUGCGUAUUUUGUGAUUGUUUAUGCGUAUUUUGUGAUUGUUUCUCAACAGCACCCCCACUUCAAAUAUAUAAAUGUGUAUUCUAUUUAUGUACAGUAAACUUCAGUGAUACAACUUUCUUUUUAAUUUUUUAUCCCCAUUUUUUGAUAAAAUUACAUGUUUCAAUCCCUAAAAUUUGAUAAUUAUAAUUUUGGUCUCUAGAGUUCUAAUUAUAUAGUUUGCGUCCCUAGAGUUGUUAGAUAAAUUUUACUGAUUUGAGACCCUUAAAUUUUGGUAUUUUCAUAUUGGUCUCAUAAAUUCUGAUUUUGUCAUUUGAUCCCAAAACUUUUUAAUUUUGGAAGUUUGAGUCCGGAAAGCCCCUAGAUUUUUGAUAAUUAUAGUUUGGUCCCUAGAGUUAUUGAUAACUACAGAUUGAUCCCUAAAGUUACUGUAAAUUAUAUUUUUGACCCUCAAGUUUUGGUUCUUUUCAAUUUCAUUUGGCUUUACCAAUUUUAUUUGUCGUUUUGUCCAAAAAAAAAAAUUAUCGAUUUUGCCCCUAUAAAUAGUAAAUUAUCUAUCAUAAUUUUUUUUUGAUUUUGCCCCUACUCCACAUUAAACUUCAUUUAACAAUAUUUUUUUGUGACAAUUUUUCUCCGAUUUGCCAGACUCACAUUAAAUCAUCGUACCACCUAAUUUUGUUUUAAUUUUGCCCAUACUUAAUUUUUUUAUCCGAUUUUGGCGCUCUACGCACAAUACUAUUAGAUUAGAUUCUUGGUUAAUGGAUGAUUAUUUUGAAUAACAACCCGUGCCAUAGCACUGUAUUUCUGAUUUUGCCCAUUUAUAAAUGUGAGUGAAUAGUAGCUCAUUCUACUACCUUUUUUCGAUUUUUACACCAUUAGUAAACGUUUUAUUUAACUCAUUUACCACAAAUAUUUUUUUUUGAUUUUGCCCCUUAAUGAAUUGGGAGGAAUAGUAACAAUUUAUAACCAUUUGUUUUCGAUUUGCCAUGGUAACUUUGUUACCACUAUUUUUUUAUUUUCGAUUUUGCCCUACGUCAAUUUUUUAUUUUUUAUUUUGCCCUUAGAAUUACUCGCCCGUGCUACUCUUGACCCUGAAGUUUCGGUUCUUUUCAAUUUUGCUUUGGCUUUACCAAUUUGGUUUUAUUGAUUUUGCCCCUAAUUUUUUUUUUCGAUUUUUCCUCUACUUUAAUUUUUUUUCCGAUUUUGCUCCUACUUUAAUUCUUUCUUUUCGAUUUGCCCUAAUCAUAUGAAAAUAUUUACCACCAGUUCUUUUACUAUUUUUUCUGAUUUUGCCACUAUUUACAUUAACUCAGUUACCACUUUUUUUUCGAUUUUGAACCUACUAAUUUUUUUGUCCGAUUGUGCCCUUACUCGCAUUAACUAAGUAGAUUAGGUUAUAAUUAAUGGAUUGCUGAUUUUGAAAACUAGCCUAUGCAUAGCAGGGUACUGUACUCAAUGACCACCAAACUUGUUUUUCCUUUCGUCCUUUACCAACAAUUUUUUUUUCAUUUUGUCCCUUAACUCAAUGACCACCAAACUUUUUUUAUCCAUUUCGUCCUUAACACAAUUUUUUUUUCAUUUUGUCCCUUAAACUUUCAAUGACCUUCAAUUUUUGUAUCCAUUUUGCCCCUUAAAAAUAUUUUUGUAUCCAUUUCGAUUUUGUCCUCUCACCAUUUUUUAUUUUUGAUUUUGCCCUUAGAAUAUGCAAAGGCAUAUACCCACUAGUAUAUAUAAUAAAUGCUUUACAGAGAGAGAGAGAGUCAUUCGGCUUCGGGAUCUGGGCCCCAAUUGAAAAUUUGAACAAGUUCUAUUAGUGUCAUUUGGAAUGGGCCCAAGUGACCGUGGCCCAAUCAAGU
rnacentral:lncRNA from 1 species